GCGAGACUGGUGUAAUGGUUAUCAUGGCAGCCUUCCAAGUUGUCGAUCCGGGUUCGAUUCCCGGGUCUCGCA
rfam:Opisthorchis viverrini opera_v5_7.110, whole genome shotgun sequence.